rnacentral:rRNA from 1 species
UACAGAGGGGGCAAGCGUUAUUCGGAAUUAUUGGGCGUAAAGGGCGCGUAGGCGGCUUGGCAAGUGGAAGGUGAAAUCCCUCGGCUUAACCGAGGAACUGCCCUCCAAACUGCUUCGCUUGAGACCGGGAGAGGUGAGUGGAAUUCCCAGUGUAGCGGUGAAAUGCGUAGAUAUUGGGAGGAACACCAGUGGCGAAGGCGGCUCACUGGACCGGUACUGACGCUGAUGCGCGAAAGCCAGGGGAGCAAAGCGGG